UGGGGAAUAUUGGGCAAUGGGCGAAAGCCUGACCCAGCGACGCCGCGUGGGUGAUGAAGGCCUUCGGGUUGUAAAACCCUUUCGUGCGGAAAGAACAGUCCUGAAGUGAAUAACUUCAGGAUUUGACGGUACCGCAGGAAGAAGCACCGGCUAACUCCGUGCCAGCAGCCGCGGUAAUACGGAGGGUGCAAGCGUUGUUCGGAAUUAUUGGGCGUAAAGGGCGCGUAGGCGGUUGUGAUAGUCAGAUGUGAAAUCCUCCGGCUCAACUGGAGAACUGCAUCUGAAACUUCAUAACUCGAGUACAGGAGAGGGAAACGGAAUUCCCGGUGUAGAGGUGAAAUUCGUAGAUAUCGGGAGGAACACCAGUGGCGAAGGCGGUUUCCUGGCCUGAUACUGACGCUGAGGCGCGAAAGCGUGGGGAGCAAACAG
rnacentral:rRNA from 1 species